UAGAGAAGAAAAGCGGGCAGCUACUAGAUAUUCAAAUCUUCCACAAAUGUCAGGGAGAGAGUCAGGCAGUUGGUAGAAGAGACCUGUAAAGCUGGGUACCAUAAGCCUCAACACAGGUGUUUUUAUUUCAAGGCUGGGGAGCUGUGCUUUGGAAAAGCAAUGAGGAGGUAACAGGAAGUCUCUUCUCCUUCUAAAUCCUGUGUUCAUGGAGGAGGGUGGGUUUUCUCCUCUUGAGAGGGAGUUACAUACAAGUUUAAGGGAAAAGAGUCUGAAGUUUCCACCUAAAUGAUUCUGAAAGAAUCAGUGGUGGAGCAAGAAGAGUGAUCCCAUUUAG
rnacentral:lncRNA from 1 species